rnacentral:tRNA from 1 species
AGUUAAAAAGCUUAAACAAGCAUAUAUUUUGAAAAUAUAAGGCAAAAGUUAGAUCUUUUAUUAGCUU